GGGUGGUGGACCCCAGCCCCAUCCUGCGGGUGGUGGACCCCAGCCCCAUCCUGAGGGUGGUGGACCCCAGCCCCAUCCUGAGGGUGGUGGACCCCAGCCCCAUCCUGAGGGGUUGUAGCGGAAAGUCUACAAUCACACAAUGAUAUCAGAGAUAUUUAUAUCCUUUGAGAUCACUAUGAUGGUCGAACCAGGAUGCACGAAGUACAAGGCUCACUGGUGACCACCAUUCCCAGCCGUAGUGUAGCUUGGUAGUUGGCAGAACUAGCGUAGUUCAGCUGUUAACAAUCGUACUGUACACUCGUGGUGGUGGUGGGAGACAUCAAACCCAGGACCGGCCACCAGAGACAGACGUCUCGAAGACAGAGAUACAGAUACAGAGAACCAGAUAAGGACACCACUAGGGGCCCUUUGACACCACCUGCAGCAUCUCCUGCCGCCCUCAGCGCCCGUCACCACCCACCCGUACCGUUGCCUAGUACGCCCUUCUUCACGCCCCUGCCUAAGACACCCGUUUGGAAAUCUGGAAUAGCGUCUUAGAAACCGGCGGCUAGAAAGGCGGGAUCCAAGAGCCAACGUUCGAUUCUGCAUGCACAAAUAGCCUAGCACAAGCGGCCACCAGGUGUUCACGCAACACUCGUAGCACCAAGAGUUCAGCGCAGGAUACAACAAGUUCAAAAUUAUACUACGGGAACAGAUAUGAGCUGGGGGACGAAGUGCAGGACGACACCAACUGGGAACGACACUACCUGAGGACGACACCAACUGGCAACGAUAUUAGUGGGAACGAUACCAGAGAGGAAGCGUCAAAGAGAUUGAAAAUGAAAAUUCUAAAGAUAUAUUUUGAGAAUAAGAAUUCAAGUGGAACGUAUCUACUGGCCAGCAUAAAGAUAGGCGAGUACUUGCACACGCUCGUUGAAACAGAUAUACUAUCAUACAGUUACUUAGUUCUUUAAUAUAUAUUAUGUUUUAGGCAUGUUGGAAAUAAGUUCGCCUCCUAGGGACUUGUGAGUGUUGCAACUUAUUAAAAUAAGUCAUAGGUUCAGGUAAUGGCUCUGUGAUUAAAUCUACCUUGUAUGUCUACCAGAUGACAUAAUAUCUAUGAUGUGUUGUUAUGAAUAUUUUUAAUCAAUGUAAUAAAUUCUUUACCUCUGA